UGGCGUCCGACACUGACGACGAGGAGGAUAUGCUCUUGCCUGCUGGCUCUACAAGACAAUACACUGAAGAGACGGUGGUGUGUAUCCUCUCUGUGACGUGUCGUACAGUGAGCUUCACAAGGUGCAGCAUUGGCGGGUUUACUGUCCUUCCACCUUAGGGGACUAGAGCAGGCACAGACUCCAUUCACUCCAAGGAGAGGUGUGGAGGUUUUAUGUGCCUACUGUUUUCUUUACCAUUGAAUUGAGAUCCAGCAAAAAAAACAAGUUUUGGGCCAGC